ensembl:lncRNA SLC7A11-AS1 SLC7A11 antisense RNA 1
GUUCUUUGCCGUGCUAACAUAUGUUGUAGAGAAUGACCACAUAGUAAUUGUCUAGUCUUUUCUCCUAACCCCAAUAGGAUUUGAAUGACUUUCAUCGUAAUGAAGGCUUCUGCAGAGUAAUUGAUUUUGACCAUGAGUACCUGUUGAAGUCACAGCAACUUCUCCUUCUAGAUUAUCUUACAGCAGUGGACCAGACAGCAGUGCUCAAGAGAGGCAAGUAUGUCUUUAAGGAAGCUUCCUGCUUGCCGGGGAAAGCUGCAGAGUAUGUGGCAUUCAACUGUCAUGUCUACAUCCAUGUUGAAAAAGUCUUUCGGCUUUAAGGAUAAUCAACCCGCGGUACUCUUUCUUUAAAUAAAGGUGUGUUAAUGAGUCUGCA